UGCUGGUCCGAGUGCAGUGGUGUUUAUGACUAAUUGAUCACAACCGGUUACAGAUUUCUUUGUUCUUUCUCUACUCGCAUUGCUUCACUUGACUAACUUUA
ensembl:Y_RNA Y_RNA Y RNA